GGCGUUAAGUUGCAGGGUAUAGACCCGAAACCCGGUGAUCUAGCCAUGGGCAGGUUGAAGGUUGGGUAACACUAACUGGAGGACCGAACCGACUAAUGUUGAAAAAUUAGCGGAUGACUUGUGGCUGGGGGUGAAAGGCCAAUCAAACCGGGAGAUAGCUGGUUCUCCCCGAAAGCUAUUUAGGUAGCGCCUCGUGAAUUCAUCUCCGGGGGUAGAGCACUGUUUCGGCAAGGGGGUCAUCCCGACUUACCAACCCGAUGCAAACUGCGAAUACCGGAGAAUGUUAUCACGGGAGACACACGGCGGGUGCUAACGUCCGUCGUGAAGAGGGAAACAACCCAGACCGCCAGCUAAGGUCCCAAAGUCAUGGUUAAGUGGGAAACGAUGUGGGAAGGCCCAGACAGCCAGGAUGUUGGCUUAGAAGCAGCCAUCAUUUAAAGAAAGCGUAAUAGCUCACUGGUCGAGUCGGCCUGCGCGGAAGAUGUAACGGGGCUAAACCAUG
rnacentral:rRNA from 2 species